CAGAGGUCCGGCGAUCGGCCUGCGGACGAGGGAGCCGUACCCGCACCACGACACGACGGACUCAUC
rnacentral:ncRNA from 1 species